AAGUUUUUGUCCCUAGCCGAGGGUCAAAAACUUUGAAAAAUAUUUGCAUCGGCCUACUAAAAUUGCAUUGAAUUGAGAUUGAAUACAGUUUGUUUUGUAUAUAAUCUAUAAACUUUUUUCAAUCUUCGAUAGUAUCUUUAAAAAAGUUGCACAUUAUUUAUCAAUUUCAUGAAUCAUCAAAUCAUGCACAAAUCUGAAUAAAAUUAUAUUCAAAACCAGUUGAUGAGCAUUGCCAUCGCUCGUUAAGUAAUCAUUUUGUCAUUUUCAAACCACAAUAAAAUUGUAAAGUGUCGAAAAUGAAUAGCUAGUUCAACUUCAGUUGCUUUUGGCCAUGAUUGUACUGUUUGUCACUGUGGCAUUGUUCCACCAUGCCGUUCUCUCUCCAGUCUCGUCAGCAGAUGAAUUCAGUUACUAUUCUAUGGAUCAUGCGGGAAAUUGUUCGACAUCACCGUCAAAUGUGAACAUUUCUGAGUGUUGCAACAUUCCCUUACCUUUUCCCACUAAGUGCAUCGAAUCAUUUUCAAAUGAGUCUGCUUUGAGCACCUUAAACUGUACUUUUAGAGAAAUUCUGGAGAAAAUUGAUGAAACAAUGUUCACCAGCUUUGAUUCGCUUAUGAUGGGACUAGCCUUGAUACCAAAAUAUUGGGCAGCAUCUCAAGGUUGCCUUUUCUGGAUUCCUAAACUAUCCGAGGACAUCUAUGAUAUUGAUAUGUUGCCUUUCUUGGAUUGUAUAAGUAAAAAUCUUAUACUGGAAUGUCAAUUAAUAGGAGCAAAUGAGAAAUGUUUAAAUGUGAACAAGUUUUUAAACACCCCAUGUUCCUACAAGGCUUUUUUAAAUCAUCAGAACAAUAUGUCUUGAAAUAAUUUCACUGUUUAUAAUCAACUCUUCAAAAUAGAACCAUAUUUUUAAAAACGAUAUCGACAAAAAUUCGUUCCAGCUGUAAAACUAUUUCCUAUGCAGAACAUAAAUAAACUAUGAAGUAUUGAUAGA